UACGAGGGGGCGAGCGUUGUUCGGAUUUCCUGGGCGUAAAGGGCGCGUAGGCGGCAAUUCAAGUCAUCUGUGAAAUCUCCGGGCUUAACUCGGAACGGUCAGAUGAUACUGCUUUGCUAGAGUGCAGAAGGGGCAAUCGGAAUUCUUGGUGUAGCGGUGAAAUGCGUAGAUAUCAAGAGGAACACCUGAGGUGAAGACGGGUUGCUGGGCUGACACUGACGCUGAGGCGCGAAAGCCAGGGGAGCAAACGGG
rnacentral:rRNA from 1 species